CAGUAGCCGCGGUAAUACGUAGGGUGCGAGCGUUAAUCGGAAUUACUGGGUGUAAAGCGUGCGCAGGCGGUUGUGUAAGACAGGUGUGAAAUCCCCGGGCUUAACCUGGGAACUGCGCUUGUGACUGCACAGCUAGAGUAUGGCAGAGGGGAGUGGAAUUCCACGUGUAGCAGUGAAAUGCGUAGGGAUGUGGAGGAACACCGAUGGCGAAGGCAGCCCCCUGGGCCAAUACUGACGCUCAUGCACGAAAGCGUGGGGAGCAAACAGGAUUAGAUACCCCCGUAGUCCCUGUCUCUUAUAC
rnacentral:rRNA from 1 species